rnacentral:lncRNA from 1 species
GAGAUGGAGGACCGUCUGCCCGACCUCACCUGUGGCUGUCCCCCGGCACUGUCUAGAAUACAGAGAAGCAGUUCGCCUUGAAUCAAGGCAGGCAUCUUUCAGGGGUCAGCUGUCCUUGACCUCACUCCUCGCGGCUGGCCCACCAUUCACGUGUCCAGAGACUCUUUCAGAGGGGAGGCUGGGAAGAGCAGACGUGGGGAGGAGAAGGAAUGCCGUUCUUCUGGAAGCAGGGAUCUUCCAGGAUAACUAAAGUUUCAACUCUUGCGAUGACGGGGUGCAGCCCUGUAUUCACAAUGCAGCAGGUGGUGGGUGUAUCCCAUAGACUGGUAUGGAGAACCUUUCGUGGAACGGACCUCCUCAUGACAAGGACUCUGUGCAGUCCAGGUCCCAGCCGACCUGGAGAGAAGCGACCAGAAGCUGCAGCCUUAGGGCUGUAUCAUCGCCUCCCCGAGUUGGGAAGAACACUAAGCCACACCAUUCGGAAUCAAGCAGCCUCAACUGCCAAGGCUUGGUGGGACAGAUAUGAGGAGUUUGUAGGACUCAAUGAAGUUCGAGAGGCCCAGGGAAACGUG